rnacentral:tRNA from 1 species
GCCUGGCUGGCUGAGUUGGUAGAGCAUGCGACUCUUGAUCUCAGGGUCAGGAGUUCGAGCCCCAUGUUAGGCA